rnacentral:ncRNA from 1 species
GCGGUUCCGGUUCACGCCACGGAGGCGACCCGGCGGCC